rnacentral:rRNA from 1 species
ACGGGAGGCAGCAGUGAGGAAUCUUCCACAAUGGGCGAAAGCCUGAUGGAGCAACGCCGCGUGCAGGAUGAAGGCCUUCGGGUUGUAAACUGCUUUUAUAAGUGAGGAAUAUGACGGUAGCUUAUGAAUAAGGAUCGGCUAACUACGUGCCAGCAGCCGCGGUCAUACGUAGGAUCCGAGCGUUAUCCGGAGUGACUGGGCGUAAAGAGUUGCGUAGGCGGUUUGUUAAGUGAAUAGUGAAAUCUGGUGGCUCAACCAUACAGGCUAUUAUUCAAACUGGCAAACUCGAGAGUGGUAGAGGUCACUGGAAUUUCUUGUGUAGGAGUGAAAUCCGUAGAUAUAAGAAGGAACACCGAUGGCGUAGGCAGGUGACUGGACCAUUUCUGACGCUAAGGCACGAAAGCGUGGGGAGCGAACCGGAUUAGAUACCCGGGUAGUCCACGCCGUAAACGAUGGAUACUGGCUGUUGGAGGUAUCGACCCCUUCAGUAGCGAAGCUAACGCGUUAAGUAUCCCGCCUGUGGAGUACGGUCGCAAGACUAAAA